rnacentral:rRNA from 1 species
AUACGUAGGUGGCAAGCGUUGUCCGGAAUUAUUGGGCGUAAAGCGCGCGCAGGCGGUCCUUUAAGUCUGAUGUGAAAUCCCACGGCUCAACCGUGGAUGGUCAUUGGAAACUGGAGGACUUGAGUACAGAAGAGGAGAGUGGAAUUCCACGUGUAGCGGUGAAAUGCGUAGAGAUGUGGAGGAACACCAGUGGCGAAGGCGACUCUCUGGUCUGUAACUGACGCUGAGGCGCGAAAGCGUGGGUAGCGAACAGGAUUAGAUACCCUGGUAGUCCACGCCGUAAACGAUGAGUGCUAAGUGUUAGAGGGUUUCCGCCCUUUAGUGCUGCAGUAAACGCAUUAAGCACUCCGCCUGGGGAGUACGGCCGCAAGGCUGAA